GGUAAGAUGGCUGAGUUUAAGCGGCGGAUUGUAGUUCCGUGUAAAGAGGUGAAACCCUCUUCUUAUC
rnacentral:tRNA from 1 species